UACGGAGGGUGCAAACGUUGCUCGGAAUCACUGGGCGUAAAGGGUGCGUAGGCGGGUUUUUAAGUCAGGGGUGAAAUCCUGGAGCUCAACUCCAGAACUGCCUUUGAUACUGAAGAUCUUGAGUCCGGGAGAGGUGAGUGGAACUGCGAGUGUAGAGGUGAAAUUCGUAGAUAUUCGCAAGAACACCAGUGGCGAAGGCGGCUCACUGGCCCGGUACUGACGCUGAGGUGCGAAAGCGUGGGGAGCAAACAGG
rnacentral:rRNA from 1 species